GGUCCUGACUAUCUCAACUGGUAGAGCACGGCAUUAACUCUGCCAGGGUGGGGGGUUCGGUUCCCACCGGAACCA